AUGUCGUGAUGAGGGAAUUUUUGUAACAACUCCUUAAACUACUCUCAUGCCUCAUACAAAGAUUCUUCAUCAAGUUGCUGAAAGUAAUCUCAUUGCAGAGCUU